GGCACACUAGCAGAAUUUAUAUCUAAGAGAGGUCGUUUGGAUGAAAAGUUGACACGACACUUUACUACUCAAAUUCUGGAAGGUAUAGAGUACCUGCAUCAGAAUAAUAUUCUGCAUAGGGAUAUCAAAGGCAAUAACGUUCUUAUGGAAGAUGAUUGGAACCUAAAGAUUACAGACUUUGGUCUAUCUGAGUUUAUUGAUGCCAAUGGGGUCGCUACUGAAAUUGGUACAGUGCGAUACAUGGCACCAGAAGUGAUUUAUACAGAAGGCAACGUAAUACGAAACUACACAAGCAGAGCAGAUAUAUGGAGUGUAGGUUGCACUGCGGUAGAGAUGGUGACAGGAAAACCUCCGUACCCAUCACUUUACUCACACCAAAUAAUCUUCCAAACUG